UAGGGAAUCUUCCGCAAUGGACGCAAGUCUGACGGAGCAACGCCGCGUGAGUGAAGAAGGUUUUCGGAUCGUAAAGCUCUGUUGUUAAGGAAGAACGAGUGUGAGAAUGGAAAGUUCAUGCUGUGACGGUACUUAACCAGAAAGGGACGGCUAACUACGUGCCAGCAGCCGCGGUAAUACGUAGGUCCCGAGCGUUGUCCGGAUUUAUUGGGCGUAAAGCGAGCGCAGGCGGUCAAUUAAGUCUGAUGUGAAAGCCCCCGGCUCAACCGGGGAGGGUCAUUGGAAACUGGUUGACUUGAGUGCAGAAGAGGAGAGUGGAAUUCCAUGUGUAGCGGUGAAAUGCGUAGAUAUAUGGAGGAACACCAGUGGCGAAGGCGACUCUCUGGUCUGUAACUGACGCUGAGGCUCGAAAGCGUGGGUAGCAAACAGG
rnacentral:rRNA from 1 species